GUGCAGUCCGACCAGCGCCUACUACUCCCCUCCUCCCGCCAAGUUUGAACCCACUGACGGUGGAGGACGCGGGGGUUCCCAGAGUCGGUUGUGUUCUGCAAAACCUGGGUUCUGCAGAAGCCUGGGUUCUGGAAAAGCUCCCCUCGGAGACAAGUGGGCUGGGGAAGUUCUAAAAAGGCUGGUGAAGUGGUCUGUGUGCACUGUAGGGAUUCCCGCGGAGAGCAGUACUGUGUCUCUGCUACGUGAUGAGUUGAGUGGCUGAGACCCUGAGAUGGUCAGAGAGAACACCAGAAGGCGUUUGUUUCACCAGUACAAACAGCCUGCACUUCACCCAACCACUGUGACCUCCUGAGAACAGGCUAAUAUGCCCAAGAUAGUCCUGAAUGGUGUGACGGUGGAUUUCCCUUUCCAGCCUUACCAAUGCCAACAGGAGUACAUGAGCAAGGUCUUGGAAUGUUUGCAGAAGAAAGUGAAUGGCAUCCUGGAGAGCCCCACAGGCACAGGGAAGACGCUCUGCCUCCUCUGCACCACGCUAGCCUGGCGGGAACAUCUCCGGGACACUGUCUCUGCCCGCAAGAUUGCUGAGAGAGUACAAGGAGAGCUUUUUCUUGAUCAGGCCUUGUCAUCCUGGGGGAAUGCCGCUGCUGCUGAUGGAGACCCCAUAGCUUGCUACACGGAUAUCCCAAAGAUCAUCUAUGCUUCCAGGACCCACUCGCAGCUCACCCAGGUGAUCAACGAGCUCCGGAACACUGCUUACCGGCCCAGGGUAUGUGUGCUGGGCUCCCGGGAGCAGCUGUGCAUUCACCCAGAGGUGAAGAAGCAGGAGAGUAACCACAUGCAGAUCCACUUGUGCCGCAAGAAGGUGGCAAGUCGUUCCUGUCAUUUCUACAACAACGUUGAAGAGAACAGCCUGGAGCAGGAGCUGGCUACCCCCAUAGUGGACAUCGAGGACCUGGUCAAGAAGGGGAGCAAGCACAAAGUGUGCCCUUACUACCUUGCUCGGAACCUGAAGCAGCAAGCUGACCUCAUCUUUAUGCCGUACAAUUACUUGUUGGAUGCCAAGAGUCGCAAGGCACACAACAUUGACCUGAAGGGAGCUGUUGUGAUUUUUGAUGAAGCUCACAACGUGGAGAAGAUGUGUGAGGAGUCGGCCUCCUUUGACUUGACACCCCAUGAUGUGGCUUCAGGACUGGAUGCUGUCGACCAAGUUCUGGGGGAACAGACCAGAGUGGCACAGCAGAGUGAGCUCCAGCUGGAGUUCAGCAUGGAUCCCACCACCUCAGGACUGAACAUGCAGCUGGAGGACAUCGCAAAGCUGAAGAUGAUCCUUCUUCGCCUGGAGGGGGCCAUCGAUGCUGUCCAGCUGCCUGGAGAUGGCAGUGGUGUCACCAAGCCAGGAAGCUAUAUCUUCAACCUGUUUGCCGAAGCCCAGAUAACAUUUCAAUCAAAGGUCUUCAUCUUGGAGUCACUGGACCAGAUCAUCCAGCACUUGGCAGGACGUACUGGAGUGUUCACCAACACGGCUGGGUUGCAAAAGCUCAUGGACAUCAUCCAGAUCGUGUUCAGUUUGGACCCUGCUGAGGGCAGCCCAGGAACCUCACAGUCCUACAAGGUGCACAUACACCCUGACACUGGACCCUGGAGGGCAGCUCAGCGCUCGGAUGCCUGGAGCUCGACUGCCUCUAGAAAGCAAGGGAAGGUACUGAGCUACUGGUGCUUCAGCCCAGGCCACAGCAUGCGGGAACUGGUUGGGCAGGGUGUGCGUACCCUCAUCCUCACCAGUGGCACCUUGGCGCCCCUGUCCUCCUUCACCCUGGAGAUGCAGAUCCCCUUCCCAGUCUGCUUGGAGAACCCACAUGUCAUCGACCAGCACCAGCUCUGGGUGGGGGUUAUCCCCAGAGGCCCCGAUGGAGCUGAGCUGAGCUCUGCGUUUGACAGGCGGUUUUCUGAGGAGUACUUGUCCUCCCUGGGGAAGACUCUGGGCAACAUCGCCCGUGUGGUGCCCCAUGGGCUCCUGGUCUUCUUCCCUUCCUACCCUGUCAUGGAGAAAAGCCUGGAGUUCUGGCGGGCCCGAGACUUGGCCAGGAAGAUGGAGGCACUGAAACCUCUGUUUGUGGAGCCUAGGAGCAAAGUCAGCUUCUCAGAGGUCAUCGAUGCUUAUUACCAACGGGUCACCUCCCCUGGGUCCAGUGGGGCCACCUUCCUUGCAGUGUGCCGGGGCAAGGCCAGCGAGGGGCUGGACUUCUCAGACACAAAUGGCCGUGGUGUGAUUAUCACUGGCCUCCCAUACCCACCACGUAUGGACCCCCGGGUUGUCCUCAAGAUGCAGUUCCUGGAUGAGAUGAGAGGCCAGAGCCAAGCUGGAGGUCAGUUCCUUUCAGGGCAAGAGUGGUAUCGGCAGCAGGCAUCCAGGGCCGUGAACCAGGCCAUUGGGCGAGUCAUCAGGCACCGCCAUGACUAUGGGGCCAUCUUCUUGUGUGACCACAGGUUCGCCUAUGCAGACGCCAAAGCCCAGCUGCCCUCAUGGGUACGCCCCUACCUCAAGGUGUACGACAACUUUGGCCAUGUCAUCCGAGAUGUAGCGCAGUUCUUCCGUGUUGCUCAGAAAAUUAUGCCUGCUCCAGUCCCCAAGGCUCUGGCCCCAGGUACGGGUGAGGGAGAAGCUGCUGCCAAGGUGGCCUCAUCACCUGGACCCCUCCUGUCCACCAGAAAAGCCACAAGUCUAGAUGUGCACGUGCCCAGCCUGAGGCAGGAGCCAGCAGGACUGCUGGCUGUGGAGGACCCUGAGCACAACUUGUGUGUGGAGUAUGAGCAAGAGGCAGUCCCUGCCCAGAGGAGGCCUAAGGGGCUGCUGGCUGCCCUGGAGCACAGCGAGCAGAAGGCUGAGGCACCUGAGGAUGAGGCCUACCCUGGGAAGAAGGCACCUGGUCACUCUACCCUGGCUCUUCAGUGUGAGAAGAGGCUGGCUGAUGAGCAGAGAGGAGGAAGGAGGAAGGUCAGGCUGGUCACCCGCCGGGAGGAGCCGGCGGCUGGUACACAAGAAGAGAGAGCGAAGCUGUUCAUGGUGGCUGUGAAGCAGACACUGAGCCAAGCCAGUUUCGAUACUUUUACCCAGGCCCUGAAGGUCUACAAGAGUUCUGAUGACUUAAAAGCACUGGUGGCCUGCCUCAGCUGCCUCUUUGGUGAAGACCCCAAGAAGCACACCCUGCUCCAAGGCUUUUACCAGUUUGUGCGGCCCCACCACAAACGGCAGUUUGAGGACAUCUGCAUUCAGCUCACUGGUCAAGGCUGCAGCAGCCGGACAGAGCCUGGCCUUCCCCACAGGCAGCAGGCAGUGCCAGCCCUGGAAGCCAGUGGCCUGCCUUCUGUCCUGGGACUCCCAGGUCCUCAGGAGCAUGUGUCUUCAGGAAAGAAGGAUUCUGAGCUCAAGCUAACCCAAUCCAAGGAGGUGGCCAGGCAGCUAGAUCCUGGAGUGCACCUGAACCAGGGUGGGCCUCACCUAUCCACCAGGCCACCCCCCACAGGAGACACCCACAGCUGUCCACAAGUGCGAUCCAGAGUAAACAAGCAGGGCCAGUCUGCUGUGAGUGCCUACCUGGCAGAUGUCCGCAAGGCCCUGGGGUCCGCAGGCUGCAGCCAGCUCUUGGCAGCACUGAAGGCAUACAAACAGGAUGACAACCUCAACCAAGUGCUAGCUGUGCUUGCUGCACUGACCACUGCAAGGCCCGAGGACCUCCCCCUGUUGCAAAGAUUCAGCAUGUUUGUGCGUCCCCACCACAAGCAGCGCUUCCUACAGACCUGUGCAGACUUGAUGGGCCUGCCUGUCUCAGGCACAGAACUACUGGGCCUCCAGGAGGAGAACCCCACCACGCCUCUGGAGCUCACCAAUGGUGCUCCCCAACCAGGCCCCUCACAGUUACAGAGACCCAGAAGGACCCACAGCAAGAUCUUCUCUUUCUUUAAACAUACACCAGAUGAGCAUGAGGAGCCUAACUUGCCCCCUGGCCUUCCUAACCAUGGCCUUUUGCAGCAGGCUUCUCGUGCCCAGGCUGCAGGGCAGAGAACACAGUGACCUUCCAGUGCCUCUCCUGUGACUUGCACUGCUGCCAGGCCUGCUGGCAACAGCACCUCCAGCCCUCUAGGACAUGUCCAGCCUGCUUUGCUGCCAUCAGGAAGCAGAGCCUCACACAGGUCUUCUGGCCGAAGCUCCAGUGAGCAUCCAUGGAGAUGCUGCAGGCCCCUGACACGGCUCCAUGCUGGCUGGUCCAGCCCUGUUGCGGGCUAUGGGCCUCCAUCCACAUCCUGAUAGGGAGGCUGGCCUGGUGCUAAGUGCCAGGCCCAUUGCAGGCUUCAGUCAGGUGGGAGCUGUGACUUGGGAUCUGGGGCCACCCCUGAGAAACCUCAAAGCCUAGGUGGUCACCUGGAAGAUGUCUCCUUCCCAGAGAUUUCCCUGCUGCUGGCUCGUGAGAGCUGCUGUUUCAGCUGUGUGACUGCUGUCAUUCAGGGACAGAUCUAAUAAAAACUGCUGGCAGUGGCA